rnacentral:rRNA from 1 species
GCUAGCGGCAGGCUUAAUACAUGCAAGUCGUGGGGCAGCAGGUCCCGUAGCAAUACGGGAUGCUGGCGACCGGCAAACGGGUGCGGAACACGUACGCAACCUACCCAUAACUGGGGGAUAGCCCGGGGAAACCCGGAUUAAUACCCCGUAACAUAUUGAUAAGGCAUCUUAUUAAUAUUAUAGCUCCGGCGGUUAUGGAUGGGCGUGCGCCUGAUUAGGUAGUUGGCGGGGUAACGGCCCACCAAGCCUACGAUCAGUAACUGGUGUGAGAGCACGACCAGUCACACGGGCACUGAGACACGGGCCCGACUCCUACGGGAGGCAGCAGUAAGGAAUAUUGGUCAAUGGACGCAAGUCUGAACCAGCCAUGCCGCGUGGAGGAUGAAGGUCCUCUGGAUUGUAAACUUCUUUUAUCUGGGAAGAAAUCCAUAAAUUCUUUUAUGGUUGACGGUACCAGGUGAAUAAGCACCGGCUAACUACGUGCCAGCAGCCGCGGUAAUACGUAGGGUGCGAGCGUUAAUCGGAAUUACUGGGCGUAAAGCGUGCGCAGGCGGUUUUGUAAGCCAGAUGUGAAAUCCCCGGGCUUAACCUGGGAAUGGCAUUUGGGACUGCAAGGCUUGAGUGCGGCAGAGGAGACUGGAAUUCCUGGUGUAGCAGUGAAAUGCGUAGAUAUCAGGAGGAACACCGAUGGCGAAGGCAGGUCUCUGGGCUGACACUGACGCUCAUGCACGAAA